UACGGGGGGGGUAAGCGUUGUUCGGAAUUACUGGGCGUAAAGGGCUCGUAGGCGGCCAACUAAGUCAUACGUGAAAUCCCUCAGCUUAACUGGGGAACUGCGUGUGAUACUGGAUGGCUUGGAUUUGGGAGAGGGAUGCGGAAUUCCAGGUGUAGCGGUGAAAUGCGUAGAUAUCUGGAGGAACACCGGUGGCGAAGGCGGCAUCCUGGACCAAUAUUGACGCUGAGACGCGAAAGCGUGGGGAGCAAACAGG
rnacentral:rRNA from 1 species